rnacentral:miRNA from 1 species
UCGUCAAGAGGUCGAUACGGA